GGUUCUUCGAUAAUGAAUGAAACCAAGUCUUCCAAGCAUUCUGACUUCAAGAGAAACUCGAUAAGUUUGCGAUUCUGAGCCUUGCACUCCUGCAGGACGUCCUCUUCAUCCAUCAACUCCUUCAGUGUUACAUCUUCUCUCUCUAGAAGUGUAUCUAUGUGGGAUGACGAAUGGAGAUCAAAUUUCCAAAACAUGCUGGUCUCGGCAAGAGCGUCA
rnacentral:lncRNA from 1 species